UGGUGUGCAUAUGCACCUCUUGAUGUCUCCAUAAAGUUUUUAUUUGGUUUAGGGGUUCCCUGCUGAGCCUACAGAAAAACUCUCCUAGACAGUCUGCUCUCUGCAAAGCUGCAAUGUCUGGCAGAAUAGCAGCUAAUGGUGCUCUUGUUCUAUUCUAGGAACUGCCAAGCUCUCUCUGAAGGACUAAUUUUCCUUUCCUAUUGCAUUCCCAUUGGAUGCCACAUCAAACUCCUACUGCUCCUUCACAGGUCUGAAAAUUCACUGCUCCUGGGCAAUUGUUUCAUUUGCAACAGGCAUUUGAUGGCGCCAGCAGACAGACAUGAGGAAAUGAGCUGUUGCUAAGGAUGCUUCUGGAUCAGCUGAAGUGAAGAAUAUAUGCAUGUGAAGCUUCACUUGUUAUGUUCAUCAGGCUUAGCAUACAAUAUGCCACCAAAAAAAACAUCAUGAAUUUGAAACAUAAAAACACAUAAAUAACUUAAGAAAGAUACAACAAUGCAUUAUUUUUAGGAGUUAUAGGCAAAUAUUUUCACAAAGAUUGGAGAAAAAACACCAGUUUAGAAAAAAUGGCAAACAGGAAAACAGGAAAAGACUCUUCAAUGAAUACAUGACACAUUGAAUUAUUCUCCUAGUUAUUGCUAUUUCAGUGUCUGGUGCAAGUAAGGCAAAAUAACUCAAAGCUAAAUCAAGAGCUAACUACAAAUGCUGAAUGGUGGCAGGUGCGCAGCUACAAGAACUUAAACACAUUCAACAACUUUGGGAUACAAGCUGCUGCUGAGUGAAUUAAUGCAUUUAUAUUGAACUUUGUUAUGACUAAAACAUUCCCAGUGCUUACAGAAGCAGGCAACGCUCUCUGAAUGGGAGGUCUAUUAUAGGUAAGUUGGGCAUUACAACCAAUACAGCAAUGAUGUUGAAGGCAGCUUGCAUGAUAUGAACCAGAUGCUAUCCGGUCUGCCAGAUUCUGGCUUCUUACACAGUCUUUGGAGAGAAGUAGUCAUGAUAUCUAUAUUAGACACUUGGCACUGGAUUAACUGCAUAUGUACAGACUGGCAGUACUCCACAUGCAUAUGGUUGAGUUCAAGAAGGUAGGCAUUGGCUACCUCUGUGUUGUCUUGAAUAGAUUUGCUAGACCGUGCUCUAGCAAUGUCCACCCUACAUGCUAUGUGCCUGUCUGAGGAUUUGGUCAAAAACAUGAAGAACACCAGCACAUGGAUUAGAGGCAAUCCAAGAGGCCAGCUGUGGCAUGAAGACUGGGAUCCCCUGCAGUACGAACAAUCUUCCUAACAUAAAUGCUUCUGAACUUUUUGAACAACAAAGCAGGUAAUUCCUUUUUACUGAAAAAUACUACUACAUGUACAUCAUAUGUGUAUAUCCCUCACUCUUAGCCAUGUUGUUUCAGUCCAUCAGGCAAGACAUCCCUUUGUAUAAACAUGUAAAUAAUAAACAGCAAAUAACGUAUUUAUCUUCUUACUCC
rnacentral:lncRNA from 1 species